rnacentral:rRNA from 1 species
UGGGGAAUUUUGCGCAAUGGGCGAAAGCCUGACGCAGCAACGCCGCGUGGAGGAUGAAGGCCUUCGGGUCGUAAACUCCUGUCAGGGGGGACGAAAGCCCGCAAGGGUCUGACUGUACCCUCGGAGGAAGCCACGGCUAACUCCGUGCCAGCAGCCGCGGUAAUACGGAGGUGGCAAGCGUUGUUCGGAAUUACUGGGCGUAAAGGGCGCGUAGGCGGCGCGGCAAGUCAGGUGUGAAAGCCCCGGGCUCAACUCGGGAACUGCAUCUGAAACUGCCAUGCUUGAGUCCUGGAGGGGGUAGUGGAAUUCCCAGUGUAGCGGUGAAAUGCGUAGAUAUUGGGAGGAACACCUGUGGCGAAGGCGGCUACCUGGACAGUGACUGACGCUGAGGCGCGAAAGCUAGGGGAGCGAACGG